GAUGAACGCUGGCGGCGUGCCUAAUACAUGCAAGUCGAGCGAACAGACGAGGAGCUUGCUCCUCUGACGUUAGCGGCGGACGGGUGAGUAACACGUGGAUAACCUACCUAUAAGACUGGGAUAACUUCGGGAAACCGGAGCUAAUACCGGAUAACAUGUUGAACCGCAUGGUUCAACAGUGAAAGACGGUUUUGCUGUCACUUAUAGAUGGAUCCGCGCCGCAUUAGCUAGUUGGUAAGGUAACGGCUUACCAAGGCAACGAUGCGUAGCCGACCUGAGAGGGUGAUCGGCCACACUGGAACUGAGACACGGUCCAGACUCCUACGGGAGGCAGCAGUAGGGAAUCUUCCGCAAUGGGCGAAAGCCUGACGGAGCAAAGCCGCGUGAGUGAAGAAGGUCUUCGGAUCGUAAAACUCUGUUAUUAGGGAAGAACAAAUGUGUAAGUAACUAUGCACGUCUUGACGGUACCUAAUCAGAAAGCCACGGCUAACUACGUG
rnacentral:rRNA from 1 species